GACGAACGCUGGCGGCGUGCUUAACACGUGCAAGUCGAACGGAAAGGCCCUGCUUUUGUGGGGUGCUCGAGUGGCGAACGGGUGAGUAACACGUGAGUAACCUGCCCUUGACUUUGGGAUAACUUCAGGAAACUGGGGCUAAUACCGGAUAGGAGCUCCUGCUGCAUGGUGGGGGUUGGAAAGUUUCGGCGGUUGGGGAUGGACUCGCGGCUUAUCAGCUUGUUGGUGGGGUAGUGGCUUACCAAGGCUUUGACGGGUAGCCGGCCUGAGAGGGUGACCGGCCACAUUGGGACUGAGAUACGGCCCAGACUCCUACGGGAGGCAGCAGUGGGGAAUAUUGCACAAUGGGCGGAAGCCUGAUGCAGCAACGCAGCGUGCGGGAUGACGGCCUUCGGGUUGUAAACCGCUUUCGCCUGUGACGAAGCGUGAGUGACGGUAAUGGGUAAAGAAGCACCGGCUAACUCCGUG
rnacentral:rRNA from 1 species